AGACUCUGUCUCAAAAAAAAAAAAAGAAAAUGGGUAAGAGACAUGAAGAGACCUCCAGCACAUCGACAUUCGAUGGCCGGAAAGCACAGGCCGAGACACCUGGCAUCACCAAAUGCUGGCGCGGAGGAGGCUGGAGCACGGAGGAGGCCGGAGCACGGAGGAGGCCGGAGUGCGUGUCUCACGCAUUGCCGGGGGGACGAACCACGUGUCUCACGCAUUGCCGGGGGGACGAGCCGCGUGUCUCACGCAUAGCCCGGGGGGCGAGCCGUGUCUCACGCAUUGCCAGGGUUGAGCUGCGUCUCUCAGGCGUUCCCGAGGAGUGAGAAGUGGCAGGGCCGCUCUGGAGAACAGGUAGUCGGUUUCCUACGAAGCUAAACACACAGCUACUGAGCUACUGUGGGACAUUUAUCCCAGAGAAAUGGAAACUCUCAUUCACACAAAAGUCCGUAACAGGCGUUCAAAGACGUGUUUGUUGUAGCCAAACAGUGGCAUCAGCCCAGGUGUCCUACAGGUGAACGGUUCAGUAGGUGGAAUAGGUGGUCCGCACACCACGAGAUGGCCCUCGGCAGGGAGGGGGAGUGGCAGAUGCCCUGGGCUCAAGUGACCUCGUCCUGAGUGAAGAGUGCCAGUCCAGAGGCUGCAGCUGUUGGUCCCCUUCUAGAAUGUGACUAAAAUGACAGUCUGGGCGUGGCGGCUCACACCCACCAUCCCAGCCCUGUGGGAGAUGAGGACAGCGGGUCUCAAGCCUAGGAGUUUGAGACCAGCCGUAGUGAGACCCUGUCUCCAAAAAAAAAAAAAAAGAUGACAGAACCGUAGUGAAGCAUUCAGGUCGUGAUUGCUGUGGUGCUGAGAGGAAUCCGUGGUGCAGUCAGUGGCAUGGCCCCGCACACACACACACACGAGUCCAGCUGGCCACGUCUGGUGCAUCUGUAGGUGGCGCAGCUGCCUGGACUCAGUGCUUCUCUGAGGUUGUGAGAGACGCCCUCCCUGGGGGAUGCUGGGCACAGGUGCUCAGGGUAUUUACAGCUUCCUGCUAUUCUAAUUAUUCCAAAAUAAAAAGUUAAAGAAUCGGGCCAGGCACGGUGGCUCACGCCUGUAAUCCCAGCACUUUCGGAGGCCGAGGUGGGCGGAUCACGAGGUCAGGAGAUGGAGACCAUCCUGGCUAACACGGUGAAAUCCCAUCUCUACUAAAAAAUACAAAAAAAAUUAGCCGUGCGUGGUGGCGGGUGCCUGUAGUCCCAGCUACUUGGGAGGCUGAGGCAGGAGAAUGGUGUGAAUCCGGGAGGUGGAGCUUGCAGUGAGCCGAGAUCACACCACUGCACUCCAGCCUGGGUGACAGAGCGAGACUCCGUCUCAAAAAAAGUUACAGGAUCAGCCCUGAUUUGAUGUGCUCUGAGAGGCAGUGGCCACGCGACAGAUGGCAGUGGCCCUCCAGGACGCUACAGAUGUGGGGACACUGCCCCAACCCCCGUGGACAAGCCCCGGGUCUGCCUUGGCUCGUAGGGGUGGGGUGCUGCCUCCACAGCUGCCCUGUCGUGGUGUCUGCCCUCCAUCCAGAAUGUUCCUGUCGCCCCAGCACCUAGCCUGUGCGCCAGCCCCUGGAGACCGUCACACGUGUGGGUGGAGCUGGCACCUCUGGACGGCCUUGAGUGAUCAGUGUUCUAUUUUGCAAGCGUGUGCUUUCCAAUAUACAUGGCGCUCUGAGUUACAGAAACAGUAGUUGCCCCUCGUGGACGACCAGAUGCCGAGUUUCUGAUCUCCGUCUCCACAGGCUCACCAGCUGGAUUCCCUCCUGGGGGCUUCGUUCCCAAAACGGCCACCACGCCCAAAGGCAGUAGCUCCUGGCAGACAAGUCGGCCGCCAGCCCAGGGCGCCUCAUGGCCCCCUCAGGCCAAGCCGCCCCCCAAAGCCUGCACACAGCCAAGGCCUAACUAUGCCUCGAACUUCAGUGUGAUCGGGGCGCGAGAGGAGCGGGGGGUCCGCACACCCAGCUUUGGUGAGUCCCCUACUGUCUGCUGCUGUGGAGUUUGCAGAGACCUCCCUGAAUUGGCUAAAGGUAGAACCUAUGUUGUUUUCUUCAUCUCAGAGCCCAGUCCUGGGACAGGCAUGGCCAAGCCACUCAGAGAACGACACGGUUUCCGAUGUGUGUCCACUGGUCUCUCUCUGGGUCAGGCCUCUAGGUCCCUCUUGUUCCAGUGACAUCUUCUUGACCUGUUUUUAACAAAUGGCCUUUGCAACCCUGUCUUGUCUUCCCUCUUCUUUUCUCUGGAGGCGUCAGGAUGGUAGCCCUGUCCCCGGGGGCAGCAGGUGGAAUUGGGCCUGUGUGUCUCUGCAGAAAGUUUCUGUUCUUAACUGGGCUUUGUGGCUCACGCCUCUAAUCCCAGCACUUUGGGAGGCUGAGGCGGACAGAUCGCUGGAGCCCAGGAGUUCAAGACCAGCCUGGGCAACAGUGAGACCUGCUCUCUACAAAAAAUGUAGAAAUUAGCCAGGCAUGGUGGCGCAUGCCUGUGGUCCCAGCUACUUGGGAGGCGAAGGCUGCAGAGAGCUGAGAUCACACCAUUGCACUCUGGCCUGGGCGACAGAGUGGAGACCCUGUCUCAAACAAAAAAAAGUUUCUGUUCUUUUCUAGCUCAAAAGCCAAAAGUCUCUGAGAACGACUUUGAAGAUCUGUUGUCCAAUCAAGGCUUCUCCUCCAGGUCUGACAAGAAAGGGCCAAAGACCAUUGCAGAGAUGAGGAAGCAGGACCUGGCUAAAGACAUGGACCCGCUCAAGCUGAAGCUCCUGGACUGGAUUGAAGGCAAGGAGCGGAACAUCCGGGCCCUGCUGUCCACGCUGCACACAGUGCUGUGGGACGGGGAAAGCCGCUGGACGCCCGUGGGCAUGGCCGACCUGGUGGCUCCGGAGCAGGUGAAGAAGCACUAUCGCCGUGCGGUGCUGGCCGUGCACCCCGACAAGGCCGCAGGGCAGCCGUACGAGCAGCACGCCAAGAUGAUCUUCAUGGAGCUGAACGACGCCUGGUCGGAGUUUGAGAACCAGGGCUCCCGGCCCCUCUUCUGAGGCUGCAGUGGUGGUGGCUGUGCACACAGCUCCACAGGUCGGGAGCCGUCGUGAGACCCAGGUCCCCACUGUGAGGACCCCGUGGGCGACGGCAGGUGUGGCCAGGGUGGGGCUCCGAGCCCCGAGUCGCCGCCCGCCGAGCAUUCCAGGCACAUGAAGAGAAAGCAUUCCAAAGCCUCUGAUUGUUGUUUCCUUUUUCUCCUCCCGAAGGAACAGCUGAUUCAUGCUCCUCCCACAAUUGUUACGUCUGUGAUUUAUUUGGUGUUUCCGGCGUGGCCUCUGGAGCGCCGGCACGUGGUGGGCCACGCUGCUGGCGCUCAUGGGCCCUGGUGUUUGCACCGCACUUUGUAAUCAGUCCCGUGGUUGUCUGUACAGAAUUAAACUAUUUUCCGAUG
rnacentral:sRNA from 1 species